rnacentral:rRNA from 1 species
CAGUCGCCGCGGUAAUACGGAGGGGGCUAGCGUUGUUCGGAAUUACUGGGCGUAAAGCGCACGUAGGCGGCUUUGUAAGUUAGAGGUGAAAGCCCGGGGCUCAACCCCGGAAUUGCCUUUAAGACUGCAGGGCUAGCAGGUGAGAGAGGUGAGUGGAAUUCCGAGUGUAGAGGUGAAAUUCGUAGAUAUUCGGAAGAACACCAGUGGCGAAGGCGACUGACUGGACAAGUAUUGACGCUGAGGUGCGAAAGCGUGGGGAGCAAACAGGAUUAGAUACCCCCGUAGUCCCUGUCUCUUAUAC